CUGGCUGCACCUCCCUCCUUGACGGUUCCAGUUGCGGUGGGGCCCUAGGCCGAUCUUCUCUUCCUUCAGGUCGGUGUCGAAUGAAUCUGUCGAGCUGAUCCCACCUGAUGAGCUCCUCGAUCUCGUCUCGGAGCUGAAUACACUCCUCCGUAUCGUGGCCGUGGUCACGAUGAUAGAGGCAGAAUUUGUUCGGGUUGCAUUUUUUAGGGUGCGAGCGCAUCCUCUCUGGCCUUGGGAGCUGCUCCCUGACCUCCAUCAGUACUU
rnacentral:lncRNA from 1 species